rnacentral:rRNA from 1 species
AUGCCGAACCCUCUCCACGCCAUCUGGGUGCGAGAGGACCAGCAGGUGCUCGGGUACCUGCUGAACAACCUCACCAAGGAGGUGCUCGUGCAGGUGACCGCGAUCACCACGGCACGCGAGCUCUGGACGGCACUGUCGGGGAUGUUCUCC